rnacentral:tRNA from 1 species
GCCCAGGUGAUGAAACUGGCAGACAUGUACGGUUCAGGGCCGUAUGGGAGCAAUCCCGUGGGAGUUCAAAUCUCCCCCUGGGCA